rnacentral:hammerhead_ribozyme from 1 species
AUGCAGAUAACGAAUCCCGAAUAGGACGAAAUGCGCAUCCUGAAU